UNCCACCUCAUGAGAACACUAGGAGCCA
rnacentral:piRNA from 1 species